rnacentral:rRNA from 1 species
AACGAACGCUGGCGGCAGGCUUAACACAUGCAAGUCGAACGGGUGUAGCAAUACAUCAGUGGCAGACGGGUGAGUAACACGUGGGAACCUUCCUAGGGGUACGGAACAACUCAGGGAAACUUGAGCUAAUACCGUAUACGUCCGUGAGGAGAAAGAUUUAUCGCCCUUAGACGGGCCCGCGUCGGAUUAGCUAGUUGGUGGGGUAACGGCCUACCAAGGCGACGAUCCGUAGCUGAUCUUAGAGGAUGAUCAGCCACACUGGGACUGAGACACGGCCCAGACUCCUACGGGAGGCAGCAGUGGGGAAUCUUGGACAAUGGGCGCAAGCCUGAUCCAGCCAUGCCGGGGGAGUGAAGAAGGUCUUCGGAUUGUACAGCUCUUUUGCCAGGGACGAUAAUGACGGUACCUGGAGAAUAAGCCCCGGCAAACUUCGUGCCAGCAGCCGCCGUAAUAC